rnacentral:tRNA from 1 species
GUUUGGGUAGCUCAGUGGUAGAGCGAUGGACUGAAAAUCCAUAGGUCGUUAGUUCAAAUCUAACCCCAGACA